GAGGCUUUGAAGCGUGGACGCCAGUCUGCGUGGAGCCAACCUUGAAAUACCACCCUUUAAUGUUUGAUGUUCUAACGUUGCCCCAUUAUCUGGGGUGCGGACAGUGUCUGGUGGGUAGUUUGACUGGGGCGGUCUCCUCCCAAAGAGUAACGGAGGAGCACGAAGGUUGGCUAAGCAUGGUCGGACAUCAUGCGGUUAGUGCAAAGGCAUAAGCCAGCUUGACUGCGAGAGUGACGGCUCGAGCAGGUACGAAAGUAGGUCUUAGUGAUCCGGUGGUUCUGAAUGGAAGGGCCAUCGCUCAACGGAUAAAAGGUACUCCGGGGAUAACAGGCUGAUACCGCCCAAGAGUUCAUAUCGACGGCGGUGUUUGGCACCUCGAUGUCGGCUCAUCACAUCCUGGGGCUGAAGUAGGUCCCAAGGGUACGGCUGUUCGCCGUUUAAAGUGGUACGCGAGCUGGGUUUAGAACGUCGUGAGACAGUUCGGUCCCUAUCUGCCGUGGGCGUUGGAAGAUUGAAAGGGGCUGCUCCUAGUACGAGAGGACCGGAGUGGACGCACCACUGGUGUUCGGGUUGUCAUGCCAAUGGCAUUGCCCGGUAGCUAAGUGCGGAAGAGAUAACCGCUGAAAGCAUCUAAGCGGGAAACUUGCC
rnacentral:rRNA from 1 species